rnacentral:rRNA from 1 species
UCCGUAGGGGGUGGAAUAAGUCGGGUGUGAAAGAUUCGGGCUCAACCCGGAAAUGGCACUCGAAACUGUGCCACUAGAGUCCAGGAGAGGAAAGUGGAAUUCCCGGUGUAGCGGUGAAAUGCGUAGAUAUCGGGAGGAAGACCAGCGGCGAAGGCGGCUUUCUGGCCUGGAACUGACCCUGAGGGACGAAAGCCAGGGGAGCGAACG